UAGAGAAAUACAGUUUGUGAUGCCUAAAGGAUUUGAAGCCCUGAUUAUGUGUUUACAGAAAAGAAAAAGAAGAAAAGAAGAGCCAGGAGGAUAGGUUGUUCAGUUUACUACCGGAGACCUGACUGUGACAGACCACCAAGAAAACAAAAUUUUCAAAGAGAGUGGAGGAGACCUUCUGCAGCAUCUGCAAGUCUGUCCUUUUUUCUUCAGAGUUGCGUAGGAUAACUUAGCCAGAACUUAUUGAUGUCUGCAUGUUCAGUGGACUCGGGGAUGGACUGGGAGAUGCGGAAACGUACUCUUUGGAAGAAACAGGAGAGGAGGCAUUUCAAAGAUCCUGCAGGUGACAAAGGUGAUGAUCUGCUGACAGAAGAAAUAAAUCAUAGAAAGUGCCGAGACUGCACAAGCAUUUCGUGUGGUAUUCCUAUAUGAGGAACCGUCGUCACAGUCUUUCUUCAAGUAUGUUCUCUCCUGGGGGUUCAUUAUUUUUCAGAGGAUGGGUCUUUCUGCCCUGCAGGGAUCUAUCUAUCACUGCUGACUCUCUGCAUCUUCUCCACAUGGAAGAAGUAAUUGGAUUGUAUUUUCUGCACAUGACCAAGACAGCAGGGAAACCCACAGCUGUAAGCCAGAGAACCAAGCUGUCUAGAGACUCUGUGAUUCCCUCAGUUAUUGAUACAACACAGCCAUUUUCAGGAGCUCCAGGUCUUUCUAAAGGCCAUGUUUUGCAUUGAGAGACUCCAUCGUGUCCCGGACCCAGAGAAGGUGGGUGAGCAAGUUGCUCUCUCAGAAGUCUGUCAGCUUCCAGGAGACGCCAAUUAUGUCACCUUGUCUGAUGGUGUGCUGCUGGAUGGGCCUGGGCCUCACCAGCAUGCCUAAUAAUGUCAUCAGGACUAAGGAUAUGAGGAGGAUGAGGUGUCCUAUACCCAGCAGUGAAACAUGCCAGUACAAAGAUAAAAACCAAAAGUGGCUGGACCUCAGACAAAGGAGGAGAAGGGAAGUUGUUGAGGUCCCCACACAGAUGUCUGACUACAAGUCCACCAAGGUGCAUUGAAACUGUGUCACAGCUCAGCCUCUUCUCCCCAGUGCCUGUGGAGGCAGCUUCCAGCAUGACACAUCCCAUCUUUGACUCACCAGAAGACAUGCUUCAAUUCAGCUAGAAAAUAGGAACUUAAGGAAAGAGCUUGAAAGUCUGUGGCAAGCCUAUAAGGACUGAUGUACAACACAAUUGUAAAGUUUAAUUCUAGACUGAAAAUCAAUGAAUAUACAAAGAUUCAUAUUUCUAAGAAAACAAAGACAUAAAUCUACAGCCAUUUUGACAAAUGAUGUGCAGAUUUCUCCUGGGGAACAUGCAAAGAAGGCCCACACCUACGGAAAGGCUGUCCCAAGAUUAUGUCACCUACAUGUAUCAUGAAGGAAUUUUCUUCUUGGCUGCUCAGAGGAGGAUUUUUAACAUUUGCCUUUCAUUUACUCCACAACAUUUCAUUUCUGAGUAACUUGUACUCCUUCACACCAUUUUAAUUUGAUGGCAUGUACAAGUAAUGCAGAGACUUUUCGUUCCUAAGGGAAAUUAAGAAAAUAAUUCAUUCUUUCGCUCAGUAACUCAACUGAAUUCAAUUUGGGUUCAUUCUUUUAGGAAAGGUGUUUACCUAGUUCUGUCAAUUAAAAUAUGGAAGGAAAAUGUCAAUAAUACUGACCAUAUUGUCAUCACAAUUCUUAGUUCUUUCAUGCCAUGCUUCCUCCACAGAGCCUUUAAUUUCGCAGAGGGAAAAGCUAACAUAAAGACUUAGAAGGCAUAAGUCACACCUGUAAUUUCUGCAUGUUACUAAAUACUAACAUAUACUAGGUGCAUGGAACAAAACUUCAGGAAACCAGUUUUCACAUUGAUUUGGUUUUUUGAGCUCAUUUGUAAGGUUUUAAUUUUAAUUUUUUUUGUUACGUUUACUUUGAUAUAUAUUUGCCAGAUGAAUUGCAUGCACAGAAAAAGGUGUAACAAAAGGGCAGAAGUAUCAGCUGCAUUAUGUGCUCCUAAGAGACAGAGAAAGAACAUUAUUUGGAAAUUUCUGUGGCACAGGGCCGUGCUGGCAGCUGCUGGUCUCAUUCCUAUCCCUUACAUGGGAUUGUUAACACAAGGACGCAUGUGGGAAUGACUGAGGACUGGAGAGGCCAUGACCAAAGUGAAUAUUGAUUCUCUUUUUCCUUGGUGUGGCUGCCUAUGUAGAAAACAUCAAUCAGUAGGGCAGCCUGAGAGAAGGCUGAAUGAAUUAAUGGAGGAGAGAACCCUCUCAGAGCUACUGGACACACAGAAAAUCAGCCUGGCUUGGGGUGUGUCUGGGCUGCAAGUGCUUUGCAGUAGCGAGGAGAGGCUGCUUGCGAUUCUCCGGUCUCACGCUCCUCGUCCCAGCAUCAGCUCUAGGGCGUUAGCAUUAGCUGUUCUUAUUUCAUUAUGCUUUUAUUUACUGUUGGCAGGAGAGGAGGGCUGGAAGCUGCCCAGAGUGCUGGCUGCAGCCACUGAGAGACCUCUCUUUCCCCAGGGCUGGCUGCAGCACAGAAUUGAUGGGCGCUGAGUAAAUGUGUUUCAUAUCCAGAGCAAAUUUUCCUGAGUGCCUAAGUGGCUUGAAACUGCAGGUUCUGUUGGCCAAGAUCAAGUAACUUGCUUGGGAGAUUGCUUCCAGUUAGUUUUCUCUCUUUUUGUCCUCUCUCUGUGUUUGUGCAUUUUCAAUUAUGUAGAAAUGUAUCAUAUAGCUCCACUUUGUUUUAUUUAAGCAGGCAAAGAAUGGUGAGCUUCAAAACUGCAGGAUACCUUGAAAUCUUUUAACUUCAAACAUUCUGUCUCUGAUAGGAAAACACGUAUUUCCUUUUUAAUUCUCAAUCAUGUUAACUGGUACUGGUGACUUUGUACCCACAAGCACAGAACACUAGAUGGAUAGACUGCAGCAAAACAAGUUACAUGUUGUAUUUAGAAACAAGUACCUUUAAAAAAUUUACCUGUCUGCCAAGACUUGGAAAAACAAGAAAGCAAGUUCAGCUCAGUACACUGAGCAGUUCCUCACUGCCUGACUCUCCUCAUGGCUUCUGGGAAUGCCUGGCAUGUCAGGUAACACACGCUGAGCAAGAGCCAAAAAGCCCUUUGUUGCUUGUAAAAAUGAAACAAGCACCUUGUUGGAAAACAGCUCUUUUCAGAGGCAUUACAGCUGUGGAUGAUGCUGUAGCCACUCUUCUCAUCCAUCAGGCAGAGUGCCUACCAGGGACCAGCUUUCAGCAGUGGCAGUAGGUAAGGUGUAUAACAAGGAUAGGUCCAGUUGUCCUGUGCCAGAGCAUCCUACCUUUCUUUAUACCUCCAUUGCACAAACAACACACACUAACAGCAAACAUUUGCAUGAAACAAGCAGUGAUGAAAUAUAUGAAAUAUACCUAUUUAAUUGUUCACCGUCCGCUAAGUCAGGAGAGCUCCACCCUGCACUGUUUUGACCUCCAGUUCUUUCCUGACUCAUCUGCAGCUCUGCUGUUUCAUGGUGGGAGAUCUUUCAGUUCUGGCUUUGCCCUGCCUGUAGCAUCUGGUGCUGUUCUCUCCUAGUGUGACUGCUCCUGGCUGCCCUUUUCUGAGGAAAAGAGAUGAUUUUUUGAGGCUGUGGUGAUCUGGUAUGGCAGGUGCUGUACAGUCUCAGAUAGGAGGUCUUGACUAGCAGAAUUUCCUGUCUGUUCAAGAGCUCCCAAGCUGAAUGCCUUUGCAACCUCCUCCUGGGCUUGUGGGUGGCAUCAGGUGCUGGGGCUCUUUCACACUGCAGAGCUUGUAACAUCUGGCUGAUGCCAUGGGUUAUAACAAUAAAUGACACCACACACAACAAACAUCUCCAGGGCUUUCUCCAACUUCAGUCUCUAAUCUCUCAGGCUUCCUGUGCCCUGUAUCUGUCUAUAAUGCUUUCAAAAUGACAAUCCUAGUGAUUUUGACAUGAAGAAUUCAUGUGAAGCUGGUGCAGAGGCUGGUAAGAGGCUGCCCUGACCCUCUGGGCCUGGGAGUGUCACAUUCUCUCUGUGUAUGAACCGAAAGUGGAGAGGGUACAGAAGGGUCAGACAGACAUCCCUAUGACCCUGCUUUCCUCUAUGUCAUGGGACUUUUGUGCACAAUUGGCAAUUACAGAUGUAGCCCUGAGACUCACACCAAGCUUCUGACCUGUUGUCACACACUAUUUUAUGCAGCAUGUCAUAUCCAACAUGACUGUAAUGUCUUCUGUCUUACUCACAUCCAGCUCUGUCUCCUGCUUUUUUUAACUUCUCUCCCAGGAAUUUCUCUUAGGCAGACUUUUCUUCCAUUAUUCAGACUCAAAUCACUUUUCACCACUGUUUUGUUCCACAUCAAAGCCUGUAGCCUCACCCCCUUUGCACUUAGGGCUCCCAAAAGCCUGGAAAGCUUCUGAGGAAGCUGGUCUCUGUGGAGCUGGGGCAAUGAGCUGGGGUGGCUGUACACGUUCCUGUUAUUGAAAGCAAACAGACCUGUCCGCGCUUUUCAUUCCCUCCCCCCAGGGAUUUGGCUGGACUAUCGCCCUGCCAGUUCACUGUUUUCCCUGUCUGACAGUGUUUGCUGUAGGCAGUCAGGCUUGGCCAGAGGAUAUGCUCCAUGGCUCUGCUCAGGCAAGCCUGUCUCCCACAUGUUCAGUGUAUGUUGUGUGAAGAAUGUCAGACCUCUGCUGGAGCUACUGGGUGGCUCCCUAAGAGAGAUGCUGGGAGUCAGCACAGGCACAUCCUGCAGUGCCCACUGUGGGCUGUAGUGAUGCCAGAGCCUCCCUUCUGGGCUGUGAAGGUUUUGCAAACAGCCCUUCUGUGUGGCUCUCUGUGCAGCACAUCUGGCUUGCUGUAUUCCAGAGACAUUGCUGGGCAGUACCCUUGCCUCACCUGAGAGCUUUGGAGGCCCAGUGACAUGUGUUACACUUGUCUGAGAGCUCAGCAGAGACCUCUUUGUGAUGCUGGCUGAUCUCUCCAGGGCUGGAUCUGCUUCUCUCAAUAAUUUCGCUUGCACUCUGGAAUCCCAUAAGCAGCUCUUGUUUUAAUCAGGGGCUCCAUAAUGUCUCCAAAGAAAUAUGUAGUGUCAGAGAUCUUACAUCUGAAACAUAAGGCUCAAUUGCCUCAUAUUUUUAUUUUUGGUUUUGAGCACAAUUACUGAGUCCCUCUACAGUCUUACUGUGUCCAGGUCAGGUCUUCAAAUAACUUUCUUGAUGGUUCAAUUGCUCCAAGUAUUAUUUUGAAAAUAAUAAGUGACUCUCUCAAGCCACUGCUUGUCCUUUUUGUUCAGUGAGACAGUGAAAAGUUUUACUUCCAUGUUUUCUCACUCUUUCAUGGCCAGCUACACGUAUCAAUUCCCUGCUCAUGUAAACACUUCAAACUGGUCUUUUGAGCUCUCAGUGGCUCAAGUCCCUUCUGGCAGUUCAUCUGCUCCAUUCCCAGAGUGUCUUUCUGUGUUUACUGCACUGGCUGAUGACAUAAACUCUGUCCCACCUCUCAGAAAGGGACAGUUUAUCUCCAGCUGCAGCUCAUCCCUUUGGAACAGCACUGCUACUGAUGUUAAUAAGAGAGAAAUCCUGUUUGAGUCUGUAGCAAACAUCCCUCAGGUAGCUGCAGCAAAUGAGGAAAUAUUUAAAGGUGAGCUAUGUCCUAAUAUCAUCUGUUGGAAAGGACUUUAUGUUUCAUAUAUUUCAUGUUAUUGCUCUGAAAGACUAAACGCAGGAGCACAUUUCCAAUUGAAAUGCUUGUGGAAAUUAAAUCCAUGUUUAAAUGAAUUUGAAACUUUUAAUGCAAAAUUGAGCACUUAGAAAUUUUGCAUCAACUCCAACUUAAUUAAAAUUAAUAAGGUUUCAGAGAGUUUUAGUUGGGAUAGAUGAGGAAAGAAUUUGGCCUUAAAUGUGUAAUUAAAAUACAAUUACAUUGGAAGGAAGUAAUUACUGAGGUUGUACCUCAAAAGCAUACCUAAUGGGCUACCAGGAGAAAAGGUUUAUGUGUUUGGUUCACCAGCUAUAUAAGAUAUAAAAGGAUGUAGUCACUGAAAGAGAGAGAUAUUAACAAGAUCAUUUAGGUAGAUAGUAGCAGCUCUUUUAUGGUCAAAUCAUUCUGGCUAAGUUUAGGAAGGGGACCACUUCAUCUUAGUUUGGGGUGCGCAAGUGCCUCCAUAAGUUUUCCUUCUGAUGCAUUUAAUUGUUUCCCAGCCCUCUCAUGGGGCUGUGAGAGAAGGAAGUGUUGUUCAACCAGUGUCAAACAUCUCUGGAUGAGGAAAAACUUAGUGCUGAAAGACCUCAGCUGUCUGAUUUUAGGAACUAUUUGACAAAGGACUUCUCAAAGUGGAGGACCUAAUCUGACCCUGGUUGAAACCAUGGAAGGAAUGUGGAAUCUCUUGGUCCCUGCACCAGUCUGUAUGAAGCCCUGAGCAUAGAACCAGAACUGUGGUGUCAGUUUUCGAUAAACCUAAACUUGGUGGUUUUUUUACAUAUUGCCCUGGCACACCUAUGAAAAAUGGUUUAAUAAAUAUGACAUUCCACAACAAGCACAAAACAGACAGCUUUGGGAGUUAGAGUUGAAAUGUGAGCAUUAAAAGUGAAGCCACUUUGUACUCUGUGGAGACAGAACAAUCCAUCAUGUGUUUGAUUUAUUUUGUUUUGUUUGGCUUUUUUUUUUUUUUUUUUUUUUUUGUGGGGGUAAUGUGAUAGAUUUUGGUUUUGGAGUCAGUGGUGAGGUUUCUGUUGGCUAUACUGAAGUUUGGAUUAGGUUCACAGAAAUAAAUGAAUUCUAUUUUAUCAUAAGCUAGAUAGAUAGUCAAAGAUGCAAGGUUCACAGGCCCAUUUGGACCAGCUCCUUUCCAAGGGUUCAGAGUCAUGGAUUGCAUCGAAUGG